rnacentral:rRNA from 1 species
CUGGUUAGUACUUGGAUGGGAGACCGCCUGGGAAUACCAG